CAGGUCUCAAGUCUUGGAUGUAGCACAAGGAACUAAUGCAGAUAAGGGAAUCCCCACUGAUAAAGGCAAAGAGAUCGAACCUCAUCUUCAAUCUCCUCCAAAAAGGCACAAACAAGGACCGCUGACAAUCAAAGAGUAGACAAGACCAAGGCACCACCAAGAAUGAUAUGUGCAACCACAUGGAACUAAUUCAAAAAUGGCUACUGUCUUUAUUCUGUGCAAGCUAGCCACCCUUUUGCAACUUUAUAAAUGUAGUACUGACAUGCCACAAACAGUUCAUAUGGCUACCUCAUUUUCCUUUUG